rnacentral:rRNA from 1 species
AGAGUUGAUCAUGGCUCAGGACGAACGCUGGCGGCGUGCCUAACACGUGCAAGUCGAACGGACGAGGGGAGCUUGCUCCCCAAGUUAGUGGCGGACGGGUGAGUAACACGUGAGCAACCUGCCCUUCGGAGGGGGACAACAGCGGGAAACUGCUGCUAAUACCGCAUAACGUAUCCUGGAGGCAUCUCCGGGAUACCAAAGAUUUUAUCGCCGAAGGAUGGGCUCGCGUCUGAUUAGAUAGUUGGUGGGGCAACGGCCCACCAAGUCUGCGAUCAGUAGCCGGACUGAGAGGUUGAACGGCCACAUUGGGACUGAGAUACGGCCCAGACUCCUACGGGAGGCAGCAGGUGGGGAAUAUUGGGCAAAGUGGGGGCAACCCUGACCCAGCAACGCCGCGUGGAGGAAGAAGGUCUUUCGGGUUGUAACUCCUUGACGAAGGACGAUGAUGACGGUACCUCGAAAACAAGCCACGGCUAACUACGUGCCAGCCGCGGC